rnacentral:lncRNA from 1 species
UUUUGUCCUUAACCGAAAAUUUUCUAAACUCUUUAAGAAUUAUUUUGGACAUUAAAUAUUAAAUUAAUUAAAAUAAAUUAGCUGAGCCCGUUUGAAAUUUUCGAAAAUCAAGUGAACCAAGUCAGACAGUUGAAUCAGACCAAACCAGUUCGAAUCGGAAUGAUAUAGAAACCCACCUACCUUCUUUCUUUUCCUCUCUUCUUCUUCUUCUUCUUCUUCUUCCUCAGCGCCAGAGCGCACGCUGCCCUUCCCUCCCCGUUUCCGGACACCGGGACCGAUCGAGCUCACCUUCUCGCCGUCGCAUCACCCCUGCGGUUGCUCCGACCUCCUUUCCCCUCUCUCCUUCGCUCCUGGCGAGCGCAGCAACUGUCGGAGGGGUCGCGAUUCAGCUCGACCAUGAAGUCCCGCCUCCAGCUCGGUUUUCCGGCGAUUUCAAGGCACGAGUCAGUGCGGCCGACUUCCUCUCCUAAUAAUGAGAAGUGAGUGUUUAAUUAUAAGAGUAGUUACUAAUUUGGUAAGGAUUGUUAAAAAGAAAAUAUUACUUUUUGCUAUAUAAUUUAUAAUAUUAUUUUCAUCCAUUCAAUUUUUACUAAAUAAAAAAAAAAAUUAUCUAUAUUUAUUAUGAAAAAUAAAGAAAAAUUUAAAAGUCAAAAAUGGAAAACGAAAAUAGUUACAACUAUCAACAUAAAUGGCAUGAUAAUGAUAUAGAAAUUGGUGUAAGAAUAUACCUUCUAGCUCAUCAACAUAAUGCGCCCAAAUAUUUUCCCCAUAAAGACGCUACCACAGCAUCAUAGCUUGACCAG